rnacentral:rRNA from 1 species
UGCGUAGGCGGUUUGAUAAGUUAGAGGUGAAAGCUCGGGGCUUAACUCCGAGACUGCCUCUAAUACUGUUGAGCUAGAGAGUAGUUGCGGUAGGCGGAAUGUAUGGUGUAGCGGUGAAAUGCGUAGAGAUCAUACAGAACACCGAUUGCGAAGGCAGCUUACCAAACUAUAUCUGACGUUGAGGCACGAAAGCGUGGGGAGCAAACAGGAUUAGAUACCCCCGUA